GCCAUAUGAUGAUAUGUUCUUGUCAUGAGCAUUUGUUGUGAUGCUGACUUAAAUCUAUCACCCUAUAACUGAUGGCU